ensembl:lncRNA
CACGGAGCAAGUCUUCCUGUGAGCCCCCAAAGCACACACCAAUUGCCUGAUCUCUCAACUUUUCCUGCUUCUUUGUUGCUUUUGUGCUCUUGAUUUCACUUGAAGUCUCACUUCAAAGACAACAGAAAUGAAAUCUGCAAAUCAGACUUUUCUCCUCCUCCCCCAUCCCUCUCUCUCUCUUAAUUUCCUGUCUCGUGUUCCGGUUGCAUCACUUAGUCUCAGAGCCUCGCUCCACUUGCCCCAUCUGGGGAGCUUCAAGAUCCCCCGGUGCCUUCCUGCCCUCCUAAGAACACACUCUGGCCUCGCUCUUCCAAGAACUGGACAUGGCCAUCAUCUCCUUGGUUGGCACUGUUGCAGACUCAAGAGAAACAACAGCAAAUAGUAGCAAGCAGAGGAGCUCCUCCUCUAGCUGGGCAGACAGCUGCACAGAAGGAAGAAGAGCUUCCCAGAGCUGUAGGAAACACACCAAGGGCUCAUUUCUGGUGAUGAGGGCACUGUUUCUCUCAGAGAGAGAUCAGGCACCUCACAGGUAGGGGGACAGCCUGAGGCCCACUCAGCAUCUGAAUGACGCUCAGCUCACAUGGGACAAGAGGGGGAGCUGGGCAAGACCAGAGCCUGCAGAACCUCCUUCAGAGGAGCUUGAUCAGAGGACCAUGGAAACCAGCCAAAGAUAAAUUUUAAAUUCCAAAUGGGAAAGGGAAGGAGAUAUGAGCACAAUGAACUCUUCACCAGUGGACUUCCAGCUCUCAAUGGAAAGUUUUCUGGUUGGUGGAGAAAAGAUGCUGCUCUCAAAGUCUCCCCAAUAAUCAGACACAGAUCUCUGUCUCAAGAGUUUCCCACCAGCCUGACCUAGCCGGAGGAGGGAGAAGCUGAGUUCCGAGGGGGAACUGAACUCUGAGCAGGGCAAGUAUCCCCGUAGACAGACUCUGAAAUACAAUCAGAACUUUCUGUGGGAUUGGAGAGGCUGCAGCUGAGCAAGACGUGGAGUGGGUAGAAUGAGAGGAUUAGGAGACAGGUAGAAACAAAGUAAGCAUUGAUCUAACCAACCUGCAAAUGUUAAUCAUUUCGUUGUCUCCCUGUUCAUGGUGAUAAAUAAAAAACAUUGCAAUGCAU